rnacentral:piRNA from 1 species
GAACCCUGAAAAACAAGUCUUUAUUCCUGC